ACGUAGGGGGCUAGCGUUGUCCGGAUUUAUUGGGCGUAAAGAGCGUGUAGGCGGCCAUGUAGGUCCGGUGUGAAAACUCGAGGCUUAACCUCGAGAUGUCAUCGGAAACCAUUUGGCUAGAGUCCGGAAGAGGAGAGUGGAAUUCCUGGUGUAGCGGUGAAAUGCGCAGAUAUCAGGAAGAACACCAAUGGCGAAAGCAGCUCUCUGGGACGGUACUGACGCUGAGACGCGAAAGCGUGGGGAGCGAACGAG
rnacentral:rRNA from 1 species